CUCGCUUAGGGUUUCUCGCACCCCUAUUUAUCCUCCUAGCCGCCGCCAAUUCUCUCUGCCCUCGCUUCCCUGCCCCUCACCAUCCGCGACCUCCAUCCCCCAACCCCCUCUCCACCCAAAUUCUGCUCCUGUCCGUAGGAGCACAUAGAGAAGGCCAUGGCGAUGCUGCUCCCUCCUCUCCCCUUCCUGUUGUGCAGCUCCUGGUCUACCUCGGCUACCUAGCUGCACGCCGGCCUCAGCCGAGGCAGCAGCCCUGCAUGCGCCGACGCCAACCUGAGAGACACCGUCAUGGUGCUCUUCCUCGGCCUGCACCAUAGCCAGAUCGUUCUUUUGAUCUUCAUCUCAUGGUACGUACAGUGUCUGCCUACCCUGAAGUGGGUACCUUCGAGGAAGGCCCUCGCCUGGUCGACUAAAUGCUAUGACUGAAUCAUCGACCAGUGUGGUUUAUUCGCCUCAAUCUGUAACUGUAAUUCGCCGCACCUCUGGCUUAUCCUCCCAACAAGCACAUGGCGCCGGGUCCUUACAGAGGUGAGUGUGGCAGCAAUGGCGAGCGCGAGAGUCCGAGGCCGGCAGCCCGAGGGUGCGCACGGCAGCGGGUCUUUGCAGAGGAUGAGUGAGGAGGCCGGGGCUUGAGGAGGAUGUGCGCCAGAAGCCGGCUGGCGAUGCGUGCAGAGGUAUGUGCUUGAGGGUGCAUGGGCCGGCAGUUGUAGGCAAGGGCAUGCGUGCAUGUCGUGGCCUGCUUGUGCGUGCGUGGUGUGGCCAGAGUGCGCUGUGUCCAGCUCUCCGUUGUGUGUUGUGGUCUGCUACGGCCUAUGGCCGACCGUGCACAUCAUUCGUACUCGUAGCCUGGUUACGGAUGCAUCUAACAUGAUGUGGUUCUAACCAGCAAACGCUUUGUUGUCCUGUAAUAGAACUCAUGCAUAUGGUUUAUGGAUGCUUGCAUGCAUGGUGGGAUAUGCAAGAUUGCCGUUGAGGUAUUCAAGAUACACGUUGCAUGUGGACACUUGGUGUAUGGCGGCUGUAGGUUUGAUCUUCAUACAUUUGUGACUUGUUCAAGGUUGACUGAUGAUGGCAACAUUCAAGGGUUUGGUUGGCCAUGUUUCUGCCUCUUUGGCUCCUUGUUUCUUGAUGAAGUAAGGAGUACAUUGCCUCUUCACUUCUGGAUAAAGUAAGGAGUAUAAAGUUGUUUUGAAUCUCCCGUGAGGUACAUAUAAAUUAUGCUUGAUCGACUAAUGAUGGCAACAUUCAAGGGUUUGGUUGGCCAUGUUUAUAUUAUAUUUUUCAAUGACUAAUAGCCGAUCUGAGUGUCAGGUUGACAAUUAAUUGAUUGAUUUGUAGACAACCGGGAUUAAUUUUGUGAAUAUUACUUUUUGCUUUUUUUAUAGUUGAUGGUUACAACAACAAGUUUACUCUCACAUUGCUUUGUCAUAGGGCGGACAAGCUGCUCAACAGCGGUACUACACCUUUAGGCUGUUGAAUACGAUGCACAUGCAGCUUGGCGCAGAGGCAAGGGAGACACUACUCCACCCGACCGUCCUGCAACGACCAUCUGCGGAGCCGUGAUGAGGUACGUCUGUGGAUUGACAAUCAACAGCUAUUUAUGAUUGAAUUGUACGAGUGUGCAUGGUUCCUUCAUGUUCCAUGUUUAGUAGUGCAUCCACCAUGGCCGAUGGUUAUCAUUGUGGCAUGGUCGUGGUGCUCUAGCGGCGACACAUCAUUGGCUAUGCAAGUACCAGGUUGGUUCAUCUUCUAUGUACCACCUCAGUUUAAUUCAAUUCAUGCAAGAUUGUAGUAUCAACAGUCUGAAAUCUGAGCCAUGCUUUUCUAUGCCAUGAAGCCUAAACUAUCUUCGUUUCAGGUUUAGGGUUCUGCAUUAAACAGUAGGAGGGAAUAAGAUAGCCUUUGCAUGUUUGGACGUAUAUGAUGCUAAUACCAUGGUGACCGUUGCUUCUUUUACAUGACUAUUAUUUCAGAAUGUAACAAAGUAAUGCCCAUUAAAGUAAUGAGGUAUUAUGUAACUACAAUCUGCAAAUGAAUUAUGGUAGUAUAAUUUAUUUGCUAAAAGGCAUAUUGUGUGAUAUGGAUAUGGAAUUGCUUUCAUAUGUGUAACAAAACUUGGUGUUCUCUUUAUUUGUGCAGAUAUUAUUUCUCCAUGCCUACAAGGUGUUCAAUGAAAAUUCAAGAGGGCGCACAUGGGAGGAGUAAUCUAAGUGAGUCUAGGAUUUGAAUUUUUCUAAAAUUUAGUUCCGUCAACGAUUACAAGCUUAGUGUAUGAGUAGCUGUUCGCAAUAUUGGAAUUUAUUUAGAUAUUGGAGAUCAAGAUGUCUUCUCAAUAAAUAUGUCGCUAUCUACAUAAAUUUGCAA